AAAGCUGUUGAGAAGAGGUAAUGUCAUGCUUUGGGUAGCUGGGUGGCUCUUCAGAAGCUCCAGAGACCUGCAGCUCAUCUUCCAGUUCCACAGAGCCCUGGACAGGAGCAAUAGGCCCAGGAGCUGAGCGAGCGGGAAGAGAGAUGCUCAGGUCCCAGUGGCCUCCUGCUUCCGGCACCUGCCACCUGGGUCCUGUUGGAAGUUGUCCUCAUGUGGGUGUCAGAAAAGAGCAGAAAUCCCACACAGGGUCAUGAUACCAAGGAAAUGUGGCGGCGUGCCUGAUACACGUGCUGAGUUCUCGGAACCACAGAUAACUCCUCCCUAAGGGAUGCUUGGAGCCCUUUCUGCAGCUACCCCUGGACCAGCUGUGAGUCAGCUACUGCAGGACAGCAGGGAUCCUCAGGGUCCAUUCUAGAAGCAUGAGUCAGACCCAGGUCAGGACGGGGGGUGUUCACACUGGGGUCAGAUGCUGGACCCAGGUAAGAGCAGACAUAUGCCUGGUUGCCACUGUAUCACGCUACCCUGUUCCAGUAGCUGGAUCUCAGGAGGUUGGAAGGGGAGCCUCUGAUGCGGAACUGAGCACCCCCAGGCCUGUGGGGUGCAGCGUUGUUGACACAGGCUCUGUGAUAUCUAGAUGCUUUUCAGAUAGAAUAGCCUGAAAGGGCCCAGGGAUGACCUAGAAGGCCUUGCUGCUGCUGCUGCUGCUGCUGGGGCAGGACCUCUAGCCCUGGGCCUUGGCCCAACUUGGGGACUCCUUCUUCUUCGUUAGAGCUCCUGAAGCCAGCUUGCCAGGCCCAGGUACCUGUCUGGUUCCUGAGAACCACUCAUUCGUCUAGAUCCCAGCGGUCUCCAGUGAGGAUUCAGAUGAGCUAUUCCAGGCUUUGGUGAACAUCUGAGACAUGGAAAUGCCUACUCUGAACUCUCCCCACAUCCUGACUCUGGGCAGGGGUCUGUCCUUUCCCAUUGCGGUAAAUUGUGACUGUUCAGCACAAUGGACAGCACUCACGCCUGGGGUGGGCCAAAGUGGGGAUGAGGGUCUCUGUGCCUUGCAAUGGUCAAAAUUUUAGCCACAGCACACGUAUCUCCAAAGCCCGACUUCUUAUUUCUAGGAGCCUUGUCUUCUCGGAAGCCAGGAACUUAUUGGCUUCUUAGGACAGAUAACUAAACACACCAUUGUGGAUAUUCAUAUGGGCGACGUGAUUUAGGAUGAGGUGCCUCAGUGGGCCUUUGCAGGUAGGAAAGUGGAGGGAAAUGGUUGGGGUGAUGGGGGCUUAUCUUUGCUGCCCAGACAUGCAGAAAAGUCAGACACACACAGAAGUCACCUGCUGCGACCAGCCCUUAUUAGGCACUGGGAGGAGUGGGUGAGACAGUGACACGAGGUUCGCCGCACGGCUCUUGCCUUGUAGCAGCUCACAGCUGCGCAGAGGACAUAGGUGUCAACAAACAUUGAUUCCUUUCCAGGCUUGAAAUUUGCAGAACUCUCUCAGGAAAACAUGAAACCUGUUAAAAUAUGCAGAAAAUGAAGCAGCAGCUUGGCUGGGAGGGAAGGAAACCAAACCUCAUAAGCCCUCAGGGACCCGCCCCUGGGACCCUGGCUUCCAGGGCAGCCCUCUCCUGGUUCUCUUGGGGCUCCCGGGGUGUGGGAAGAGUCCUGGGUUGCUUUUCCUCCUGCCCCAGGCCCCAGGGGCCGCAAGCUUUCAACUCCUCCUAAGUGCUCAGUGCUGAGGUGGAAGCCGUGGCCCCCAGCCUGCACUCCAGCCCUCCGGCCUGGCCUCUGAUCCCCUGGACAGAGCUGUUUGCCCAGCCCACACCUGGCAGUCUGUCCCUGACUGUCAGGACGAACAGGUUUGGCUGACCGAACUGGCAGCAGCCUUUGUGUUCAGUGAGAUAAAGAGUCAGAGCUUU